rnacentral:rRNA from 1 species
UACGUAGGGUGCGAGCGUUGUCCGGAAUUAUUGGGCGUAAAGAGCUCGUAGGCGGUUUGUCACGUCUGCUGUGAAAUCCCGAGGCUCAACCUCGGGCCUGCAGUGGGUACGGGCAGACUGGAGUGCGGUAGGGGAGAAUGGAAUUCCUGGUGUAGCGGUGGAAUGCGCAGAUAUCAGGAGGAACACCGAUGGCGAAGGCAGUUCUCUGGGCCGUAGCUGACGCUGAGGAGCGAAAGCGUGGGGAGCGAACAGG